CCUACGGGGAGCUGCAGUGAGGAAUAUUGGUCAAUGGACGAGAGUCUGAACCAGCCAAGUCGCGUGAAGGAUGAAGGAUCUAUGGUUUGUAAACUUCUUUUAUAUGGGAAUAAAGUGAGGAACGUGUUCCUUUUUGUAUGUACCAUAUGAAUAAGCAUCGGCGAACUCCGUGCCAGCAGCCGCGGUAAUACGGAGGAUGCGAGCGUUAUCCGGAUUUAUUGGGUGUAAAGGGUGCGUAGGUGGUUUAUUAAGUCAGCGGUGAAAGUUUGUGGCUCAACCAUAAAAUUGCCGUUGAAACUGGUUGACUUGAGUAUAUUUGAGGUAGGCAGAAUGCGUGGUGUAGCGGUGAAAUGCAUAGAUAUCACGCAGAAGUCCGAUUGCGAAGGCAGCUUACUAAACAAUAACUGACACUGAAGCGCGAAAGCGUGGGGAUCAAACAGGAUUAGAUACCCCAGUAGUC
rnacentral:rRNA from 1 species